rnacentral:rRNA from 1 species
UUGACACUGAACAUUGAGCCUUGAUGUGUAGGAUAGGUGGGAGGCAACGAAGUGUGGACGCCAGUCUGCGCGGAGCCAUCCUUGAAAUACCACCCUUUAACGUUUGAUGUUCUAACCCGGGUCCAUAAUCUGGAUCGGGGACCGUGUCUGGUGGGUAGUUUGACUGGGGCGGUCUCCUCCCAAAGAGUAACGGAGGAGCACGAAGGUUGGCUAAGCAUGGUCGGACAUCAUGCGGUUAGUGCAAAGGCAUAAGCCAGCUUGACUGCGAGAGUGACGGCUCGAGCAGGUACGAAAGUAGGUCUUAGUGAUCCGGUGGUUCUGAAUGGAAGGGCCAUCGCUCAACGGAUAAAAGGUACUCCGGGGAUAACAGGCUGAUACCGCCCAAGAGUUCAUAUCGACGGCGGUGUUUGGCACCUCGAUGUCGGCUCAUCACAUCCUGGGGCUGAAGUAGGUCCCAAGGGUAUGGCUGUUCGCCAUUUAAAGUGGUACGCGAGCUGGGUUUAGAACGUCGUGAGACAGUUCGGUCCCUAUCUGCCGUGGGCGCUGGAAGAUUGAGAGGGGUUGCUCCUAGUACGAGAGGACCGGAGUGAACGCACCACUGGUGUACGGGUUGUGAUGCCAAUUGCAUUGCCCGGUAGCUAAGUGCGGAAGAGAUAACCGCUGAAAGCAUCUAAGCGGGAAACUUGCCUCGAGAUGAGUCUUCCCUGACCCUUUAAGGGUCCUGAAGGAACGUUUGAGACUAAGACGUUGAUAGGCUGGGUGUGUAAGCGCAGCGAUGCGUUGAGCUGACCAGUACUAAUGAACCGUGAGGCUUAACCUGACAACACCGAAGGUGUUU